rnacentral:rRNA from 1 species
UACGGGGGGAGCAAGCGUUGUUCGGAUUUACUGGGCGUAAAGGGCGCGUAGGCGGCCACCGCAAGUCGACUGUGAAAUCUCCGGGCUUAACCCGGAAAGGUCAGCCGAUACUGCGGGGCUAGAGUGCAGAAGGGGCUACUGGAAUUCUCGGUGUAGCGGUGAAAUGCGUAGAUAUCGAGAGGAACACCUGCGGCGAAGGCGGGUAGCUGGGCCGACACUGACGCUGAAGCGCGAAAGCUAGGGGAGCGAACGGG